AUCGCUUCUCGGCCUUUUGGCUCAGAUCAAGUGUAGUUUCUGUUCUUAUCAGUUUAAUAUCUGAUAGUCCCCUAUAUGAGGACGUUGUAUUAAAUUGAUUUUUCGGACAGGGAGAUGGACUAGGGGCUUGCUCUGUCCUCUCCAAGCAUCAACCUGGUAUUGCAGUAUAUCCGGGGAUGGUGCACUUACU